AAGACCAUAGUCUAAUUUUAUGACAUAUGAGUUGCAUUCAUAAAGUGUUUCUAAAAACUGGUUUUA